CGAGCUGUGCAAACGUUACUCGGAAUCAUUGGGCUUAAAGGGUGCGUAGGCGGCCUCGCAAGUCGGGUGUGAAAUGUCCUGGCUCAACCAGGGAAUUGCGCUCGAAACUGCGGGGCUCGAGGGAGAUAGAGGCAAGCGGAACUCAGGGUGGAGCGGUGAAAUGUGUUGAUAUCCUGGGGAACACCGGUGGCGAAAGCGGCUUGCUGGGUCUCUUCUGACGCUGAGGCACGAAAGCCAGGGUAGCGAACGGGAUUAGAUACCCCGGUAGUCCUGGCCGUAAACGAUGAGCACUGGACCGAAGGGACUCCCAUAUCCUUUUGGUCGAACUGAAAAAGUUAAGUGCUCCGCCUGGGGAGUAUGGCCGCAAGGCUG
rnacentral:rRNA from 1 species